ACGUGUGAACAGGGGAGCCUAACGGCUGAGAUGCGCAAGCAAAACCCUCAACACCUGAUCUAGGUCAAACUAGCGUAGGGAGUUCAAUUCCUUACGCC
rnacentral:ncRNA from 2 species